rnacentral:rRNA from 1 species
GUGCACCAGUCGCGAAAACUUCACAAUGUGCGAAAGCACGAUGAGGGAAUCCCAAGUGCUUGCUCGUAAGAGUAAGCUGUUUCUCUGUCUAAAACGCAGAGAGAGUAAGGGCUGGGUAAGACGGGUGCCAGCCGCCGCGGUAAUACCUGCAGCUCGAGUGGUGGCCGCUAUUAUUGGGCCUAAAACGUCCGUAGCCGGUUUAUUAAAUGCCUGGGUAAAUCGGACCGCUUAACGGUUCGAAUUCCGGGUAGACUGAUAAACUUGAGACCGGGAGAAGCUAGAGGUACUCCUGGGGUAGAGGUGAAAUUCUGUAAUCCUAGGGGGACCACCAGUGGCGAAGGCGUCUAGCUAGAACGGGUCUGACGGUGAGGGACGAAGCCCUGGGGCGCAAACGGGAUUAGAUACCCGUGUAGU